AAUAAAAAAUAAAUAUGACUGCUCGUUGAAGUAUUAGCACUGUUAUGCAGUAGACAAUAGUGCUUAACCUCAAAAUAGCCUUAAUAAUGCUAUUUACUGCUUGAGUAACCAAUAAAUUAAAAUACAAAAAUGACGUCGAGUUUAGUCCAACAAUUUGUCCAGCGCUUAAAGUCGCGUCACGAAGAUGUGCGUAAUAAAGCGGCUCGGGAUUUGUGUCAUUAUGUCAAAACAGAGUUACGAGAAUCAUCACAGGAAGAAAUUACAGCAUUUAUGGAUGAAUUUAAUCAUCAUAUUAUCGAGAUGGUCAACGGAUCAGAUAUGAAUGAAAAAAAGGGAGGAAUACUGGCAAUUGUUUGCUUAAUUGGCGCUGACGUAGGAAACAUCAAUACCCGGACCAUAAGAUUUGCUAAUUACUUAAGAAGUUUACUCCCUUCAACUGAUGUAGGUGUCAUGGAACUUACAGCGAAGACUGUGGGAAAAUUAGCACUAGUUUCCGGUACCUAUACCGCCGAGUAUGUCGAAUUUGAAGUGAAACGAGCGUUCGAGUGGCUGGGUGGUGAUCGGAACGAGGGUAAAAGACACGCCGCUGUUCUGGUACUUCGAGAACUAGCUGUAUCGAUGCCCACGUAUUUUUUUCAACAGGUAACGCAAUUCUUUGACUUGAUAUUCAAUGCGGUGAGAGACCCAAAAGCCGUAAUUCGUGAGGGAGCAGUCGAAGCGUUACGCGCUGCUUUGGUAGUGACUGCUCAACGCGAGACAACAAAACAAAUGCUCAAAUCCCAGUGGUACAAGCAGUGUUACGAUGAAGUAGUCGCCGGCUUCGAGGAGGUUUAUAGUAAAGAGCGAGGAUAUAAUCGGGACGAUCGUAUUCAUGGUUCGCUAUUGGUUCUUAAUGAACUGUUUCGUUGCAGUAAUAUUCAGUGGGAAAGAGAUUACGAAUCCCUGAUGGAGCGAUUAAAUUGCUCGACUCAGCAAGCCGAUAACGAUAUUCUAGCUCUGAUGCCACGAUUAAAAACAAUCAUUGUUUCCAAGUGGUCGGGCUGUCCAUCCGGGGAUAAUUUUCAUCAUACACAGCAGUCACUUCAUCUACUGCAUGAAUCAGCAGCUUGUCGACAGCUUAUGCAAGAGCGACUCGAUGAUUUUUAUAAUGACGUGAUGAACCAACGACAUUCAAAAAAUCCCCAUAUUCAACAUUCACUGAUGACUUGCUUACCACGACUUGUGGCUUUUAAUACCGAAAAAUUCAACAAAGAAUACCGUCGGGAAACUAUGAAUUAUUUAUUAAUGACACUGAGAGGCAGAGAGAAAGAUCGAUACGCAGCGUUCAUGACAAUCGGACUAAUUGCAGUAGCUAUUGGAGACUCAAUUAAACCAUAUUUAUCAAAAAUAAUGGAAGUUAUUAAAAUGAGUCUACCGUCUAAAGAAACACCUAGUAAAAAAAGAAGCGCCCCCUUGGAGCCAGCUGUAUUUAUCUGCAUCACACUGUUAGGUUUUGCUGUGAAAUCAGCAAUCAGUGCUGAUAUAAGGGACCUUUUGGACUCGAUGUUGGCUACUGGACUGAGUCCAAUCCUGACUACAUCACUACGCGAACUAGCUCAAAAUGUUCCAUCUUUAAAACCAGACAUUUCACAAGGAUUAUUGCGAAUGCUGUCACAGGUGCUGAUGCACAAGCCGCUUCGGCAUCCAGGAGCGCCUUGGACAGCAACCAGUCCUAUAAUCACGACUCCCAAUGAACCAACCGACGUUCCAUCAACUGUUCUAGCUCUCCGUACUCUUGGAACUUUUAACUUCGAUGGUAAUCCUCUGUUACAAUUUGUUCGCAGAUGUGCGGAUCAUUUUCUUACCUCAGACCAGUCGGAAGUAAGAUUAGAAGCUGUGAGAACUUGCUCGAGACUUCUCAGGCUUGCUUUAAACCAACCUGGGCCCACGGUGACUAAGACAGUCCACACUAUUAUUGAAAAACUUGUAAUCGUAGGUAUCACCGAUAUGGAAUCAGAUGUCAGGAUUUCUGUUUUUACAUCCUUAGAUUCUUCAUUCGAUAUCUACUUGGCUCAAUCUGAGAACUUAUCUUCUCUAUUUAUAGCGAUGAACGACGAAGUAUUUGAAAUCCGGGAGAUUGUCAUUAGAACCACCGGACGUUUGAGUAUAAUAAACCCUGCACACAUCAUGCCCUCGCUUCGAAAAUGUCUGAUUCAGUUUUUGACCGAGUUGGAGCACUCAGGAAUGGGUCGGAACAAAGAGCAAGCUACCAGAAUGCUUGACCAUCUAGUCGUUGGUGCGCCAAGAUUAAUACGUCCCUACAUGGAACCUAUUCUGAAGGUCCUUGUGCCUAAAUUAAAAGAACCAGAAGCAAAUCCCGGUGUAGUGUUGGCUAUUCUCCGAGCAGUCGGUGAUUUAGCAGAAGUCAAUGGUGCGGAAAUGCAGCAGUGGAUGCCAGAGUUGCUUUCAAUCCUUCUUGAGAUGCUAGUCGACGCGAGUUCACCAGAAAAACGUGGAGUUGCUCUCUGGGUCCUAGGACAGCUUGUCGGCAGUACUGGACACGUUGUCAAGCCUUAUAUGCAGUACCCGACACUUUUGGAAGUUUUAAUUAAUUUCUUAAAGACGGAGCAACAGCCGAUCAUUCGCAGAGAAACAAUCCGUGUACUAGGAUUACUCGGAGCUUUGGAUCCUUACAAACAUAAAAUGAGUCUCGGACAAAUUGACAGUCAAUUGGACACAUUGACAUCGAUAAUGGACUCGAAAAGCGACCUGGAGAACAACCAAGAUUUAACUACCAGUGAAAUGUUAGUAAAUAUGUCUUCGUCAAGUUUAGAAGAAUUUUAUCCAGCGAUAGCUAUCGCAACACUCAUGAGAAUAAUCCGUGAUCCAACCUUAGCUCAACAUCACACGAUGGUCGUUCAAGCAGUGACUUUUAUUUUUAAAAGUCUUGGUAUAAAAUGUGUUCCUUACAUUUCUCAAGUAGUACCGAGCUUCUUGAACGUCGUUCGAACGGCAGAUGUUAAUUUCCGUGAGUAUUUGUUCCAGCAGCUUUCAGUUCUUAUCGCUAUCGUUAAGCAGCACAUAAGAAAUUACCUCGACGAUACAUUCAAUUUGAUUGAAGAAUUCUGGACGAUCAACAGCCCGCUGCAAAGUACUUUAAUUAAUUUAGUACAAAAUAUUGCCAUAGCUCUAGGUGCUGAGUUCAAAGUCUACCUGCCUCAUCUGAUGCCACAGAUAUUGAAAGUUCUCUAUUCUGACAGCAGCAAAGACCGUACUGUUACUGUGAAAUUACUCGAAGCGCUUCAAACAUUCGGUAACAAUUUGGACAACUAUAUUCAUAUGGUUCUACCGCCCAUAGUAAAUUUGUUUCACGCUUCGGAUUGUCCGAUAGUCGUAAACAGAGUCGCUCUGGAGACUGUUGAUCAGCUGGCAGACACUCUAGACUUUUCAGAAUACGUUUCAAGGAUUGUUCGUGCGGCUGUGCGAACUAUUGAUCUGUGUCCGGAAUUGAGAAACACCACAAUGGAUAUGCUUUGUUCUUUAGUGAUGCAACUCGGGAAGAAAUAUCAGUACUUUAUUCCUCUAGUACAGUCAUACAUGACUAAACAUAAGAUAAGUAAUUCCCAGUAUGAUGUUUUAGUAGAUAAAAUACUUACUGAAACUUCAGUACCCGACGGAGAUGACUAUUUAUUAAUGAGACAUCGUCAUCCGCGAAACAGAAACCGAGAUCUCUCACUUGCGUCUUCUGACAUCACGACAAUUAAAUAUUUACAUGUUUCUGCGUCUAAUUUACAAAAAGCUUGGACUGCGUCUCGCCGAGUAUCUAAAGACGAUUGGUUGGAGUGGCUGAAGAGUUUAUCAAUAGGUCUUUUGAAAGAAUCACCAUCUCCUGCUUUGAGAUCAUGCUGGGCAUUGGCUCAAACUUACUCGCAACUACCACGAGACUUAUUCAACGCUGCUUUUGUCUCCUGUUGGACGGAAUUAAACGAAACUUAUCGUGCGGAACUGAUCCAGACACUCCAGCAGGCGUUGAUGGUACCAGACAUUCCAGAGAUAACUCAGACGAUUUUAAACCUCGCUGAGUUUAUGGAUCACUGCGACAAAGGCCCUCUGCCUAUUGACUACAAAAUUUUAGGAGAACGUGCGAUGAACUGUCGAGCAUAUGCUAAAGCUCUUCAUUACAAAGAAGAUGAGUUUCAUAAAAGCAGAAACGGUGCUGUAUUUGAGUCACUGAUAUCUAUUAAUAAUAAAUUGCAGCAAAAAGAAGCCGCUGAAGGUCUCUUGGAGUAUGUAAUGAAUCAAAAUAACCAGCAGGAUUUGAAAGUCCAGGUACGCUGGUACGAGAAGCUUCACAACUGGGACAAAGCUCUGGAUCUUUACAGCGAGCGAUUGGAAACUGAUCCAUCCGACGUUGAGUUGACUUUAGGAAAAAUGCGAUGUUUGGAAGCUCUGGGUGAGUGGGGACAACUCCACGAAGUCGCGACACGCGAGUGGUCAAAUCAAAUCGAUGAUGCAAAACAACGAAUGGCGCGAAUGGCUGCAGCAGCUGCCUGGGGCCUAGGUCAGUGGGAGUCCAUGGAAAAAUAUGUAGCCCUGGUGCCUAAAGACACCCAAGAUGGCGCGUUUUAUCGAGCUGUUUUGGCGAUUCACAACGAACAGUAUAACGUAGCUCACCAGCUGAUCGACAACGCUCGUGAUCUUCUAGACACUGAACUAACUGCGAUGGCUGGUGAAAGUUAUCAACGAGCUUACAACGCGAUGGUUGAGGUGCAAAAGCUAGCAGAGCUUGAAGAAGUUAUUCAAUUCAAACUAGUGCCCGAAAGAAGAGCCACUAUUAAGUCCAUGUGGUGGGAGAGGCUUCAAGGUGGGCAAAGAAUAGUUGAAGACUGGCAGAAGAUCAUUCAAGUCCACACCCUGGUAGUGUCACCUCAAGACGAUAUGUACACGUGGUUAAAAUACGCUAGUCUCUGUAGGAAAAGUGGGAACCUAAAACUUGAUCACAAGACUCUAGUGAUGUUACUAGGCUCUGAUCCUUCUAAGGCUCCAAAAGAUCCGCUUCCUACAAUGCAUCCUCAAGUAACUUUCGCUUAUUGCAAGCACCUGUGGGUCGCAAAUGACCGCGAAGAUGCUUACAACCAGCUGCUUCACUUUGUCAUGAAUUCCAUAAAAUCUUUGAGCAGUUCUCCCAGCAAACUUGACGAAGAACAGCUGCAUCAGCACGAAGCUCACAGGCGACUUCUUGCCCGAUGCUACCUGAAGUUAGGAGAAUGGCUCGAAGCCCUGCAGGGCAUCAACGAACACUCGAUACCCGCUGUAUUGUCUUACUACGCAGCUGCGACUGAAUAUGACUCUUCUUGGUACAAAGCUUGGCACGCGUUUGCCUACACCAACUUCGAGUCGGUACUUUUUUACAAGCAUCAACAAGAAGAAACUGUUCCAGAAGUCAAUGGAGUACGUAAUCAGUCGAUACCAAGCUCUCAAUACAUUUCACACUUCACUGUGCCAGCUGUUGAAGGUUUCUUUAAAUCUAUUAAUUUAUCUCACGGUAAUUCUCUCCAAGAUACGCUGAGAUUGUUGACCCUUUGGUUUGACUACGGACAGUGGCCUGAAGUUUACGACGCCAUUAUCGAGGGAAUAAGAAUGAUUGAGAUAAAUACUUGGCUGCAAGUUAUUCCUCAGCUUAUUGCAAGAAUCGACACGCCCCGAGCACUAGUCAGCCGGUGUAUUCAUCACCUUCUUAUUGAUAUCGGUAAGUCUCAUCCUCAAGCACUAGUUUAUCCUCUAACAGUAGCUUCCAAAAGUGCAAGUCUUGCGCGAAAAACUGCGGCGAAUAAAAUUCUGAAGAACAUGUGCGAGCACAGUCCGACUUUGGUAUCCCAGGCGAUUAUGAUAAGUGACGAGCUCAUCAGGGUUGCGAUUAUCUGGCAUGAGCUCUGGCACGAAGGUCUCGAGGAAGCCAGUAGACUUUAUUUUGGAGAGAAAAAUGUUGUUGGUAUGUUUGAGACUCUAGAGCCGCUCCACACGAUGCUUGAAAGAGGAGCACAGACUCUGAAAGAAACAUCCUUCAUCCAGGCUUACGGGCGUGAUUUAAUGGAAGCUCAAGAAUGGUGUCACCGUUACAAAGUAUCCAACAAUGUCAGAGACUUGAAUCAAGCUUGGGAUUUGUAUUACCACGUGUUUAGAAGAAUUUCACGGCAAUUACCCCAGCUUACCAGUUUAGAGUUGCAGUAUGUCAGUCCCAAGCUACUUCUCUGCAGAGAUCUCGAGCUAGCCGUUCCAGGAAGCUACGUUCCAGGGCAAUCGAUUGUCAGGAUAGCCAGCAUCCAUAGCUCGAUGCAAGUUAUCACUAGCAAACAGCGUCCUCGCAAGCUUUGCAUCAAGGGAUGCAACGGUAAAGAUUACAUGUUUCUUUUAAAAGGGCACGAAGAUCUGAGACAAGAUGAACGGGUUAUGCAGCUCUUCGGACUCGUCAACACUCUCUUGCUUCACGAUCCAGAUACUUUCAGGCGAAAUUUAACAAUCCAGAGAUACGCUGUCAUACCGCUGUCGACUAACAGCGGUCUCAUUGGCUGGGUUCCACACUGCGACACGUUGCAUACCCUGAUCCGCGAUUACCGAGACAAGAAGAAAAUUCUUCUUAAUAUCGAGCAUAGGAUUAUGUUGAGAAUGGCCCCUGAUUAUGAUCAUUUGAUGCUGAUGCAGAAGGUCGAAGUUUUUGAACACGCGCUGGAACACACCCAUGGCGAUGACCUAGCAAGGUUGCUGUGGUUGAAGUCGCCAUCAAGUGAAACUUGGUUUGACCGGCGUACUAAUUACACGCGUAGUCUUGCGGUGAUGUCAAUGGUCGGCUACAUUUUAGGCCUGGGAGACCGGCAUCCGUCGAACUUGAUGCUGGAUCGUUUGAGCGGAAAAAUUCUCCACAUUGAUUUUGGGGAUUGCUUUGAAGUUGCGAUGACUAGGGAAAAAUUCCCAGAGAAAAUUCCAUUCAGGCUAACGAGGAUGCUGAUUAACGCGAUGGAAGUCACUGGAAUUGAAGGGACUUAUAGAAAAACAUGUGAAUCGGUAAUGUCUGUCUUACAUCGCAAUAAAGACAGUUUGAUGGCUGUUCUUGAAGCAUUUGUGUACGACCCGCUGCUUAAUUGGAGGCUGAUUGAUAAUAAUACAACUAAGAGCAAGCGAUCAGACGCACAAAGUAUGAAUACCAGCAGCAGUCAAGAGCAUGGAGAUAUUAUCGACUCGUUGAUCUCUACUUUGCCGAAAAAAGGAGCUUUAAGUGCUGAAAGUACUAAUGCUGAUGUUAAUCAACCUGAGGCGCUGAAUAAGAAAGCCCUGGCUAUCACCAACAGGGUGAGAGACAAGUUGACUGGGCGCGAUUUCUCCCACGAAGAAACUCUCAAUGUCAAGCGGCAAGUCCAGCUGCUUAUUCAGCAGGCGACUAAUAAUGAAAAUUUAUGCCAGUGUUAUAUUGGAUGGUGUCCAUUCUGGUAAGCUGAUAAUAACGAUGUUUAAUUAUUAUCAAGGAUAUUUGAUGCUUGGGUCAAAAUGAAAUUCAAAAAUAGUAACUACGUUGUCUUUUUUAUAAUUGGUUCUUAAUUUGAUUUAAAAUUGAAGAACGCCGUCUAAAAAAGCACUUGAAUAAAAUAAAGAG
rnacentral:misc_RNA from 1 species